GCCCAAAGUGGGACAAAGGGAUAUUAAAGUAAUAAGUAAAGAAUUGUGGGCUAAAAUGGGUAUAUCUCAAUACACCCACAGAUAUAGUCUAAGGUUUAGAGUUUAGAAGUUAGAUUUAAGUCUGAGUUUUAAAUCUCCUAACUAAUUAUUUAAAGUGAUAAAAAAAAAAAAAGACUAAUAUUAAUUGUGUGAGGAAAAGUUUGGAAGGUUAGAAAAAUUUUAAGUAACACCUCAUCUUGAGGUAUGGCAAAGCCACAGAUUGACACACUGAAACCUGGAAGUUGCCAGCUCGCAAAAGAGCUAUUGUGCUGUUGCUGUCAAGUAAAGCAGCUGCAUAUCUACACCGCAUUGAACAAUAAUCUGAAGGAAACCUGGCAGUUUAAGGGAAAUUGUAAUCCUUGCCAUUUACGGAUCUACGGAUAUAGAUCUAACGAUAUCCAAAAAAAAAAAAAAAAAAAA